rnacentral:rRNA from 1 species
UACGGGGGGAGCAAGCGUUGUUCGGAUUUACUGGGCGUAAAGGGCGCGUAGGCGGCCACCGCAAGUCGACUGUGAAAUCUCUGGGCUUAACCCAGAAAGGUCAGCCGAUACUGCGGGGCUAGAGUGCAGAAGGGGCAAGCUGGAAUUCUACGGUGUAGCGGUGAAAUGCGUAGAUAUCAGGAGGAACACCCGUAGCGAAGGCGGCACUCUGGGCCGGAACUGACGCUGAGGAGCGAAAGCGUGGGGAGCGAACAGG